GGGGCUAUAGCUCAGCUGGGAGAGCGUUUGACUGGCAGUCAAAAGGUCUGGAGUUCGAUCCUCCAUAGCUCCA
rnacentral:tRNA from 1 species